rnacentral:rRNA from 1 species
AUACAGAGGGUCCGAGCGUUAAUCGGAAUUACUGGGCGUAAAGCGCGCGUAGGCGGAUAUUUAAGUUAGAUGUGAAAGCCCCGGGCUUAACCUGGGAACUGCAUUUAAAACUGGCGAACUAGAGUUGAGUAGAGGGGAGUGGAAUUUCAGGUGUAGCGGUGAAAUGCGUAGAGAUCUGAAGGAACACCAGUGGCGAAGGCGACUCCCUGGACUCGAACUGACGCUGAGGUACGAAAGCGUGGGUAGCAAACGGGAUUAGAAACCCUAGUAGUCC